AACGUGCCCAGUUGUGGGGGAUAACGUAGAGAAAUUUACGCUAAUACCGCAUGAGAUCUAUGGAUGAAAGCGGGGGACUUCGUAAGGAGCCUCGCGCGACUGGAGCGGCUGAUAUCAGAUUAGGUUGUUGGUGAGGUAAAAGCUCACCAAGCCGACGAUCUGUAGCUGGUUUGAGAGAACGACCAGCCACACUGGGACUGAGACACGGCCCAGACUCCUACGGGAGGCAGCAGUGGGGAAUUUUGGACAAUGGGCGCAAGCCUGAUCCAGCAAUGCCGCGUGCAG
rnacentral:rRNA from 1 species